rnacentral:rRNA from 1 species
UACGUAGGGCGCAAGCGUUAUCCGGAAUUAUUGGGCGUAAAGAGCUCGUAGGCGGUUUGUCGCGUCUGCCGUGAAAGUCCGGGGCUCAACUCCGGAUCUGCGGUGGGUACGGGCAGACUAGAGUGAUGUAGGGGAGACUGGAAUUCCUGGUGUAGCGGUGAAAUGCGCAGAUAUCAGGAGGAACACCGAUGGCGAAGGCAGGUCUCUGGGCAUUAGCUGACGCUGAGGAGCGAAAGCAUGGGGAGCGAACAGG